rnacentral:rRNA from 1 species
CCUACGGGUGGCAGCAGUGGGGAAUAUUGGACAAUGGGCGAAAGCCUGAUCCAGCCAUGCCGCGUGUGUGAAGAAGGCCUUCGGGUUGUAAAGCACUUUCAGUGGGGAAGAAAGCCUUGGGGCUAAUACCCUCGAGGAAGGACAUCACCCACAGAAGAAGCACCGGCUAACUCCGUGCCAGCAGCCGCGGUAAUACGGAGGGUGCGAGCGUUAAUCGGAAUUACUGGGCGUAAAGCGCGCGUAGGCGGUCUGAUAAGCCGGUUGUGAAAGCCCCGGGCUCAACCUGGGAACGGCAUCCGGACUGUCAGGCUAGAGUGCAGGAGAGGAAGGUAGAAUUCCCGGUGUAGCGGUGAAAUGCGUAGAGAUCGGGAGGAAUACCAGUGGCGAAGGCGGCCUUCUGGACUGACACUGACGCUGAGGUGCGAAAGCGUGGGUAGCAAACAGGAUUAGAUACCCCAGUAGUC